AGUUGGGGUACCGGUGAAACAGCAAGGAAUUACUUCGAAUCACCUGGUCCAAGUACGUAAAGUUCAUUUGUGUAUUUUGUACCGAAGUGCAUAUAAAGCAACAUUGUAUUUCCUAAUCUACAGGUGACAAACCCUUGACUUACCUUGUGCUGUUAGCUGCCAAAGACUGCCUCGUAGCAAAGUUAAUGUACCGGAGCAAUGCGUCGCAUCGUGCGUGCGAGUUCUUGGUGACAAAAGCCUACUUCGACAACUCUCCGUCCUCCCAAUGCUGUGACAACGUGUAUGCCACCUCUUGUGAGGAAACUGCGCAAGUAUUGUAUAACCCGGGAAAUUGCUCUGCCUUGGAGAAAAACACGAAAGGCUGAAGGAAACCGAAGAAAGAUAUAAUUAGUGUCGCGAUCCAGGAGAUGGGAUCAGAGGGCAUGUUACUUUAAAUAAAUUAAUCAUACAUGGACCACAUA